UACGGGAGGCAGCAGUGGGGAAUAUUGCACAAUGGGCGAAAGCCUGAUGCAGCGACGCCGCGUGAGGGAUGACGGCCUUCGGGUUGUAAACCUCUUUCAGUAGGGACGAAGCGCAAGUGACGGUACCUACAGAAGAAGCACCGGCUAACUACGUGCCAGCAGCCGCGGUAAUACGUAGGGUGCGAGCGUUGUCCGGAAUUAUUGGGCGUAAAGAGCUCGUAGGCGGUUUGUUGCGUCGGCUGUGAAAACCUACAGCUUAACUGUGGGCCUGCAGUCGAUACGGGCAGACUUGAGUUCGGCAGGGGAGACUGGAAUUCCUGGUGUAGCGGUGAAAUGCGCAGAUAUCAGGAGGAACACCGGUGGCGAAGGCGGGUCUCUGGGCCGAUACUGACGCUGAGGAGCGA
rnacentral:rRNA from 1 species